rnacentral:rRNA from 1 species
UGGGGAAUUGUUCGCAAUGGGCGCAAGCCUGACGACGCAACGCCGCGUGGAGGAUGAAGGUCUUCGGAUUGUAAACUCCUGUUGCUCGGGACGAAAUGCUUCAACCUAAUACGUUGAAGUUUGACGGUACCGAGUGAGGAAGCCCCGGCUAACUCUGUGCCAGCAGCCGCGGUAAUACAGAGGGGGCAAGCGUUGUUCGGAAUUACUGGGCGUAAAGGGCGCGUAGGUGGCCUGUUAAGUCGAACGUGAAAUCCCUGGGCUCAACCCAGGAACUGCGUCCGAUACUGGCAGGCUUGAAUUCGGGAGAGGGAUGCGGAAUUCCAGGUGUAGCGGUGAAAUGCGUAGAUAUCUGGAGGAACACCGGUGGCGAAGGCGGCAUCCUGGACCGAUAUUGACGCUGAGGCGCGAAAGCCAGGGGAGCAAACGGG